GUGUUACCCUGUGACACUUCAUAAAUAUUCAGCAGUUGUUAAUUACAAGAAAAAACGGAGCUGGCUUGGGGGGUGGGUGUUCAGUCGUCAGGAAACUGGUGCUUUUUCCCAUGAAGGCAGUACAGCAGCGUGUCUCUCUCAGGCUGAGGGCAUGAAAAAAAAGCAAAGAGGUUUUCAGAGCUGUUCAAGAGUCCCAAAAUGGACUAAGAGCAAUACAACUAAUCAGAAGAGGAAAGACUCCAUUUCCUCAAUGUCCAGGUUCUUGCUCAACCAUAGCAGAAGCAUCCUUUUCUAUUCUGCAUUGGCAAUCUCACAUCUGAACAAGUCAGAGCACUGGCGGAGUGAGGAGGUAAGCACAGUCUCAUACUUUCCUGUGCUAUAGACAGGUCUAUAGAGGGGAUUGUAGGUUUUUCUAUAACAACUAGAAAUAUGCUAAGAUCUCUCUAUGUCUUCUUUCAGUUCAUCAGGAGAUCAGUUUCUUGAUAUCUAACAAUGUUUAUUCUUUUCUGUCUUUUAGUCAAGAAUGGCCUUCUGCCUGAACUCCAUCCAUCUGAUCUGAACUUGUAAAAUUUUUCUGAACAUGGUAGAGUCUCCACUUCUGCCAUGUCAGGUGUCCAAAUAUUAUGAGAACUCAUGGUACUAAGUGGCAGAAAUAUGUGAAUUCCCAUAGAAUUCAGGUUUUCUCCAGCUGGUCUUUAUCUGAUGGUCUGGAAAAGGUGCAGACGGAGUACUUAUUUUGACUAAAUUGUAACAUCCUUGACUUCUUUCUUCUGUGAUAUUGCAAAAGUUUCCUUUGGACAUUUUUUCUUCUUAAAGUAGGUUUUACAAUGAUUAAUUACAUAAGCUGUGAUGGGAACUGCUGCGCAGUGGGAAUGAAGAGCCUGAAGUGUGGAGGAUGGCAUGAAAUGUAUUUAAAAAAACCCUUAAAUUCAGCAAAAUACAGUAUGUGCCUUUCAUAGCCCUGAUCAUACUGUUUGUAUGCUGUAUCUCUCUCUCACCACUAUUUAUCUGUGUCUUAUUAAAAUAUGCAUUUUUCGCAGCAGAAACUAUAUCAUCUUCUGCUUUCGAAAAAGCAUUUACCAUAUGGAAGAAACUGCAAACAUCACCAUAAACCAUGUUUCUUUUCUGCACUUGGAUGAUUUAUAGUACCCACCAACACAGUUCAAGUAUUGAAAUGCAUGUCUAUGUGUUUGGGUAUCUAUUCUAUAUAUAUAUUCACAUCGUGUGCACAUACAUUUUUAUAUAUAAAAUCUUUUCUCUAAAAAAUGUGCAGGGUGUUGAUGAUUUAUCUAAAUCACAUGGUACCACUUCUCCCUCUUUGGCUAAACAUCACAGUGCAUGUUCUGGUUUUGGCAGGGAAGAUUAACAUUUGGCAUUUGCUUUUGGUGAAUACUCAGUUACUUAAUUUCGUUUCUUUUUUUUCCCCUCCCUAUUAACAGCAGUUAAGCCUGAGCAGUCAAACAUUUCUACUAUUUGAAUAAGAAAAGUCCUUAAAAUUCACUUACAAAUUCACGUGACAGUUAAUGUAUUACUUUUCAGUUAUUGUUCCAGCUUGUCUGUUACUGAGAAAGUACUGCAUAGGGAGGAGAUCUGGCUGAGUGGGGGUCAGUUGUGCAGCACUCACUAAAACGAGUGGGAGGUGGGAGGCAGAAGGACUCAAAAAACAGAUACUAGCCUAGGAAACCUGAUUUUUCUAAGCUCUCACUAGGGACGGUGGGAAAAGACACUUGGAGAUUCAAAGCUGGAGCAUAACCUCAGAUGCUCAGAGCUGUGACAGAAAGAAUCUUACUUUCUCUCUGCUGAGCACAGGAAGCCCAUAAGAGGGUUUGCCUCUCAGGAGUGCAGUCAUCCUUUCCUAGGUUUACAAAUCCCCCUUCCCUAAAAAGCCAGGAAUCCAGAUGCCAGUUUUGCAAAUCUCAGCAGUGUGAAAUAUGAGAUGGAUCCCAGGGCUCAGUUCUGGUCUUAUCUUCCUCCUCUCCAGCCAGAACAGUGCCAUUGGUAGCUCUCAUCUUGAAACACACUCCUUACUUCAGUAUUCAGCCUGCCAGCCUGUGACAAGAGAGACUGAUACAGCCCAAUUCAAUUAAAACACAUUUCAAACUGUUCUGCUCUCUUAAACUAGAAUGUGAGAACAAAACAUUUGGACAAUGCAUAAUUCAAAAUCAUGCAUAGGGCCUAUUUAAGAAAACCCCAUGAGUUUAAUUAUUUUUUUUCCCUAAUUGUCUAAGAAAAUGCUUUAAAUCUGCAUCACCGUUAACAACUCCACAAAGCUUUAAAAGGUGUAAUACAUAUCAUGUCAGGAUCUCAAAGAGCAUAUAUGUGUGUGUGUGUAUAUUUAUGUGUAUGUAUGUGUAUAUAUAUAUAUAUGCUAGUAUAUAAAUGCUAAUGAAACAGCGAGUUCUCAAAUCUACUUGCAGGUAAUUAACUACUGCAGGCAUGGUUGAAAAUCUGCCAUCUUCAACUGCUUGGGCUGAAAUGUUUCACUCUAUGGAUCAGCACAAGGCUGGAUUCUAAUAUUAUUUUUUCCUUUUUUUUUAAUGUUUCAGCAAAAUCAGUUUAACUGGCUCCAAGAAGAUUUGAUGAAAAAAGUCUUCUCCCCAUCUUAAAUAUAUUCUUAUAACUGAAUAUGCCAAUGUUUUGAGUCUGUUGGUAAAAAUGUGUCACAGAGAUGGGCUUUGGUGACAAGGAUAUGCUAUUCUGUGAAAAUCUGCCCAAAUUUUGACAGGUUACAAAUUCUGAAAUUUUCAACUUGUUCCUGCUUGCAUUCUUAGGAGAUUGAAUGCUAAAUUCCCCAGAAGCUGAUUGCAAUGAUGUAGAUUCAGAAUGGUAUAUUUAAUUUUAACUAAAUUUGUAAAUUACUGAGUUGAAGAUGGGAGUCUUAUUAUUAUCAUUAUCAAUUUUUAGCCCAGAAAUGGACUGAAAAUCACCGAGUCUAUGGUACUGCUCAAGGUAGGCUCAGCUAUGCCUAAGUUAACAAGUUCUUGAAGACGUUCAGUGCUUUAGAUGCCACAGACACUCCAGGAAAUUUAUUCUGUUUAGUUAAACAUUACCUGUAAAAGGUUUUAUCCUAGUAUUGAAGAUGAAUCUCUGAUUAAAAUUAGAGCUCAUUAUUUCUUGUUGUCCGUCAUGGAUGUAGAAAGCAGAUUACCACUGUUCUCUUUGGAACAGAAUUUCACAUUUUUUAAGACUUUUACCCAUUUUUCUGUGUCAGAUUAGAUAGUAUGAAUUUUCCUGCAUUACAGCUUGUUUUUUUUCAAUACCUCACCAUUCUGAUUAUCCUUCUCUGGGCCAUCUCCAGUUGUUUCAUAUUUUUGUUGUAUCCAGAGUUGUACACACUCUUGCUGAUGCCUCACCAGUGCUGAGCAGAGCACUCUGCACCUGCACAGACAGCCCAGGGUGCUGUUCCCCUUUUUUGCAUUAUUUUCUCCUGUUCAAUUUUUGAUCUGGGAAGUCUGCUAAAUAUUUUCCCACAGAAUUGAUGUGAAAAUAGUUCCUUGCUGUCCUCUGUUUCUGCAGUUUCUUAUUCCAGUCUAAAUGUAGCUCUUAUUCAUAUUGAAUGCUAUGCACAUUUUUCAGAUCAUACCUGCAGUUUAUCAAGAUCACUGAAUAUUAAUCAUCUCUUCUAACAUCCUUGCAGUCUCAUGCUGCUUGAAAUUAUCUGCAAAUUUAAUAAUGAUUCUUUUUGUGUCAUCAUCCAACUCAUUAAUGAAUGCUACCAGACUUAGAGCAAUCCUUUGUGGAACUUCAUGAAACUCAUCCUUACCUUUUGACAAUGUAAUAUCUGUAACUGCUGUUUGAGCAUGGUCUGCUAAUGCAACUCAGCACUAUAUUUUCAGAACAAAUAGUUACAAGUUCACAAUUUACCUUCUGCAAAGCUUUUGUUUAAAACUCAUUAUUUCUUUCUUUUUUUCCCUUCCUUUUUGCCAGGAAAUUAUUUUAUUAAAAUAUUAACAGACUUCAAAGGAGAUUGAGCAGGGGCAAAGGAAAUUUCAUGUUUCAUUCAAAUACAUAAUUGUGGGAAAUAUCUUGAGGUGCACUUCUAUUAGUAUUCACAGAAGAUAGUCACUUUGUUAGAUACUGCCUAUCUCUCAUUGUCCUCCCUCCCAAAAAGUUUUCUCAGAUUUAGCUCAGCAGCUAAUGGCAAUAACAUACAGGAAAACAUAAGUAUUGAAAGAUGGAGAAAGAAAGUCCUUAGUAUUCACUGGACCACCUCACUUUGAGUAUAAUCUUUGUGUUUGCAGUGACUUAGAGAUCUUAUGCUACAGUUUUGCUCCUUUGAACUGCAUGUUGUGCAAAGGAAUAAUAUUCUCCAUGACAUAGAGAACAUAGAAACAGCAGAGCAUAUUUAGAAAAGGCUCACAGAUAGCUCAUGUGGUUGUUAGCUAUAAUUUACUCACACAAGCUAAAAAAACAGAGUUCUCUUCACUCUGUUGUAAUCAGCUCCUCAUCCUUUCAGAAUACAAAGAAACAUUUCUCUCUUUCUAGAUGCUCAACUAUUCAGUUUUUGGAAUGAUCAAGAAAAAACAAAAAGUAUUCCCAGUGUCUCUAUCUCUACAGGCUAAGUCUUCCUUGCUUCUCCAUGUCUGAUACACUGACUUACCAAACUGAAUUGUUCUAAGUACAGUACCAAGAAUCAAAGGUGUUGCAACUACCUUUGGAGAGUUAGCCUAGCUGUGAGCUCAUGUCACCUUGAAAUUACAGCCAUGCUUCUGUCCUUUACUAAAUGUUAUGCUUUUGUUUUGCUUUGUAGCCCUGAAAGCUCUCAGUGAAGAUGAAACUUCUACUGUCCUGUCCACAUCUGCAAGGACCUGUAUAUUCACUCAGUACUGCCCCUGUGGAUGUAGCUCUCAAUGGUCAGUCCAACUCACCAGUCCAUCAGAGCAAGGAGCACAAGCUCAGUGUACACCUUAUCUAACACAGGCACCUGCUGCCAAAAUACUCCCUCCUCACCCAAGUCCUGGGCAAACAUUCCCUUCGCUUCCAUCAGAUCAAUCUAGUGGCCAAGCAGCUACAGGACAGGUCAAUUUGGCUGGCAGAUCUGAUGGAAAACAAAGGUAACAAACGAAGAUGACUCUGCAGCUGGAACAGGGGGGCAAGACUGCCUUUGAAAAAGGCUACUAGGUUUCGGCUCAUUUAGAUGCAACUCAAACUGUUACCUCUGCCUUCUCUCUAUAUAUCUAUCUCCUUCCAACCCCCGGCCUCCAUGCAUAAACCCAUGGCCACAUGUUUUAAGCCAUCUUUUUUUUUUAAAUUAUUUUCAGCAGUUUUCGUUUUUAAUCUACAGUUUAAAAUCCUAUGCUCCAUGACAAAAACCAGCCUUGGCUCUACCCUGUCUUCCCCAGCAGUGUGUCUUUUUAAAGACAGAGGCACUUGCUUGGUCUUUGCUAGACCGGUGUAUAUGUUAAUUUUCCAGUCAAUUUCACAGGAAUUUAGAUUAUCAAAAAUGAAUUUCAAACAGAGGUAAAAAUACUCUGCUCAUUCUCCAGCUCAGCCUCGAAGGACAAUGUAAUCUUAAGAGAAUGGUGACCCAGCUAGUAGAACUGUUCUCCUACACUCCUACACAAAGUGACUGAUUCACCUCAUGACCUCUGCCGUUCAUGAAGGUAGGUCCUACUCUAAGACAAUUUCCCAGACUUCCUCUGUAGUUACCAGGGGACAAGUACUUCACCUAUUUUAGAUACAAAUUUAUUGAGGGGAUAUGUUGCUCUCUGGAGUUGACACCAUUUCUUCUUUUGGUGAGGGCCUGGGCAACUAGCUCAGACCAGCCACUAAGGUGUGGGAGCUGGGGGAGAAGAAACUCAGAUAAUGGAGUAAGAAACUCAGGGACCUGUUUCUGCAAAGCACUCUGAAGUCUCAUGGAAGUUUUGCACGAGCCAUUACCCUUCAGGAUUGUUUCCUAAACCUGAGAAGGAACCGAGCAUCGAAAGGUUAAGCUGAAUCAUGCACACCUAAUUGUUGGGGGCUUAAAACCUCUUUUUUGACAUUUAGUGACCUAUGUUGUUACAUAAUUUUAAAUGAAAUUGUUAAAUAUUACAAAAGAAAAUAUCCCAAUAUUGCAGCAUCCUUAUGGAUGUCAUGUAGGAGAUCUCAAGGAAUUCAAGGUUUCUAGCUUUGCAGCCACCACUGAAAUGAGAUCAUGAGACCAUCAGUUCAAUGCAUAACAUACACAGCAACACUACAUUAGGAAAAAUUCAAAAAUAUUUUUUUGCACGCAGCAUUGGCUGCAGGCUUAUUCUGUCAGUAAUAUCAAACAAUUUUUCUCUGUGACUGACCCCGUAGAGGAUAGUUUUCAGUGCCUGUACACUGCAUUGCUAGCUACAACCCCUGGACUGUCAGGAAGAACUUUCAAAGAGGAAAACCAAUAACGGCAAAGAAAAUGUGAAAGAUGAAAACAGGAGUUAGAGAGACUAAUAAAACCCCAGUUUCAUCUUCCCAACCCAUUCACUUGCUGCCUCAGGCCAUCCUAUCAUGGUCAUGAUGUAAUCCACUGUAUCUUCCUAGUUGCCACCUGAUUGUCUUAGAGCUGUUUUUUUUUCCCCACUAUAGUGUCACAACCCAGGAUAUGCACCAACAUUUAACAGUAUUCCUAUGUAGGUAUUCAAGUUUUAGCUACUGCAGUUUAAGAAGAAAAUUUUGGCAAUAUUUUAACAGACUGCUUUUUCAAAUAGCUGGAAAUUAUCUGGUUUUAAUGUAGCAUUUAGACCCAUGUCCACAUUGAAAGAAUUUUUGGUCCAAGCCAGAUUAAGGUUUUAAAUAGUCUUGGGCAGGGAAAAAUACCAACAGCGGGAGGGGGGAAGGAGGGGAUAUAGAGGCCAUGGGAAUGUCCUGUAGUCUUCAACUGCCCAUUGUCUAUCCCACAACUUUACUUACACAGAGAACACUUUUACAGCAACUGCUGAAAAAUAUCCAGAGCCAGUGAAAAAGAAUGAAGAGUAAAAUACUCUUUUUAGAAGUGUUAUGCCAUGUGGUUGUUACAACGCGUGUAAAUAUCGCUCCUUUAGAAAAACUCUCCAGUGCAUCACAGGUUUUACUCAGUCUCUUCUUCCUUCAGUGCUUCUGCCUUAAUUUUAACGAGUACUACAGAUUCUGGAAAUAUGUAUGUAUGUAGGCUAUCAGCACCUUGCAUUUGCCCAACCUCAUUAUGAAGAAGAAAAUUGCAAUGUCUCUUUUGUAAGAAAUUAACUUCCCUACUUAAACUUGUGCUUUCACAGACUUGUGACAUUGCAUGUAGGCUGCUGCUCACUGCAAUUAACAAUCUCCAGAAAUAAAGACCACAACUAAUUUUGUGUUUGAACAGGAUUCCUGUCUCUCAUUCUCUCUCUAUCUGGGAAGCAAAUGCAAUGAUGCUUGCAAUAGUUUUUCCCUGCCUUUUAUUUUUCAAAAGCAGGUAGUUCUGUUCCUAAAUAAGUCUCUUAAUUGAUGCUCCAUCUGAAGGACACCAUUCAUUCAUCAUUCAUUCAUUCUUUCAUUCAUUCAUUCAUUCAUUCAUUCAUUCUUUCUUUCAUUCAUUUUCUAUUGCCAUGAUACACCUCCUCUCCUCAGAUAUUACUCUGUUCAUGUGCACCCUCUCCUCUACUCCCCAUCACCAAGGGUUGGCUCUGACCCUCCAUACCUGUAUAAAAGCAUGGCCUCCCAUUCCUGACACUCCUACAGCACGUCAGGACUUCAGACAGACCACAGGAGGGUAACACAGCACAGCCCUUUGCUUUCUGUUCAUCAGAGACCACAAUGAAUGUGGGAAAGUUGUGUCGAAAAUCCCUCACUCAGCACUCUUUGUGGCAAAUGAAUCCACAGGAGACAGACUUUGUCCAGGCAGAACUGUCUUGUAACUGGUAUUACUCCUUUUAUAUACAGAAUAGGGUCCGAGCUACCAAGCCAGGCCAGAUGUUACUUACCUGCACACACACCAUACAGACACUCCCAUGGCCGCCUUCAGCCACAAAGAACAAUCACACUUCAAGCGGCUUUCCAGUUUGACCUUGCGAUUCUUUUCACACAAGCACUUUGGCUCGCUCAGGACCACAAUAUUUUUGUUUUAAUAUUUUCUUCUUCUUCUUCUUCUUCUAUCAUCCAGGUGGCUGAUGUUGUCUUGUUUAGCUGCUUCUACAGAAAGUUCAGGCAAAAGGGGAUCCCUGAACACUUUUGUUAUUUUGUUAUUUUGUUACUCUCAUAUUCUCAUAUUACCACAACUGUGGCAUUCAUGUCCUGUAGGUUAUUUCUUUCAUUGAGUCCACAUGGAAUUUUGCACUUCUCUGAAAACAAAUGGGAAGAUUUGCAUCAUGUUUACAGGAAAGCUGCUCACUCUCCUUCUAAUGGGGAAAGAAAACGGCAUGUGUCUCGAGUCUGGCACCAAAAAUGCUUACACAUUGAUUUUCUUUACUGUCUAGAAAUUAUAACAACAUUCCUAAACACAUAUUUGGGUCUAGCUUUGCAGAAUUCAUGUUCCAAAUUCAGAAUACAUAGUUCAUAUAUGAACUAUGGCUCACAGUUCAUAUAUGUAGAGUAUAUACAGUAAAUACAUAAUACAUACAGUUCAUAAACACAGAAUUCAUAGUUCCUAUUCCCCCCACCAAAGUACUACCUUCUGUAUGCAGCUGUACAGAACAAUCCUGAAGAGGCCAUGGCAAGGAGCCUGGAACUAGAGAUUCCCGUUAACACCUGGAUACUGAAUGCCCUCCCUUUUUGAGAGAGUCCAUUCCCUUCAGGAAUUGCUGCCAUUCCCUCUGGGAGCUUCAGUUGGUACAAAGUUGCCAAUAAAUAUUGUGCUGGAACAAA